rnacentral:rRNA from 1 species
AGUGAACGCUGGCGGUAGGCCUAACACAUGCAAGUCGAACGGCAGCACAGUAAGAGCUUGCUCUUACGGGUGGCGAGUGGCGAACGGGUGAGGUAUACAUCGGAAUCUACUUUUUCGUGGGGGAUAACGUAGGGAAACUUACGCUAAUACCGCAUACGACCUACGGGUGAAAGCAGGGGAUCUUCGGACCUUGCGCGAUUGAAUGAGCCGAUGUCGGAUUAGCUAGUUGGCGGGGUAAAGGCCCACCAGGGCGACGAUCCGUAGCUGGUCUGAGAGGAUGAUCAGCCACACUGGAACUGAGACACGGUCCAGACUCCUACGGGAGGCAGCAGUGGGGAAUAUUGGACAAUGGGCGCAAGCCUGAUCCAGCCAUACCGCGUGGGUGAAGAAGGCCUUCGGGUUGUAAAGCCCUUUUGUUGGGAAAGAAAAGCAGCAGGUUAAUACCCCGCUGUUCUGACGGUACCCAAAGAAUAAGCACCGGCUAACUUCGUG